UGGUGUCUUGGCUAAGGUGUCUUGGCUAAUGUGUCUUGGCUAAGGUGUCUUGGCUAAUGUGUCUUGGCUAAUGUGUCUUGGGUAAGGUGUCUUGGCUAAGGUGUCUUGGCUAAUGUGUCUUGGCUAAUGUGUCUUGGCUAAGGUGUCUUGGCUAAGGUGUCUCGGCUAAUGUGUCUUGGCUAAUGUGUCUUGGCUAAUGUGUCUUGGCUAAUGUGUCUUGGCUAAGGUGUCUCGGCUAAUGUGUCUUGGCUAAUGUGUCUUGGGUAAGGUGUCUUGGCUAAGGUGUCUUGGCUAAGGUGUCUUGGCUAAGGUGUCUUGGCUAAGGUGUCUUGGCUAAGGUGUCUUGGCUAAUGUGUCUUGGCUAAUGUGUCUUGGCUAAGGUGUCUUGUCUAAGGUGUCUCGGCUAAUGUGUCUUGGCUAAUGUGUCUUGGCUAAGGUGUCUCGGCUAAUGUGUCUUGGCUAAGGUGUCUUGGCUAAUGUGUCUUGGCUAAGGUGUCUUGGCUAAGGUGUCUUGGCUAAGGAGUCUCGGCUAAUGUGUCUUGGCUAAUGUGUCUUGGCUAAGGUGUCCUGGCUAAGGUGUCUUGGCUAAGGUGUCUUGGCUAAUGUGUCUUGGCUAAUGUGUCUUGGGUAAGGUGUCUUGGCUAAGGUGUCUUGGCUAAUGUGUCUUGGCUAAUGUGUCUUGGCUAAGGUGUCUUGGCUAAGGUGUCUCGGCUAAUGUGUCUUGGCUAAUGUGUCUUGGCUAAUGUGUCUUGGCUAAUGUGUCUUGGCUAAUGUGUCUUGGCUAAGGUGUCUUGGCUAAUGUGUCUUGGCUAAUGUGUCUUGGCUAAGGUGUCUCGGCUAAUGUGUCUUGGCUAAUGUGUCUUGGCUAAGGUGUCUUGGCUAAGGUGUCUUGGCUAAGGUGUCUUGGCUAAGGUGUCUUGGCUAAGGUGUCUUGGCUAAGGUGUCUUGGCUAAUGUGUCUUGGCUAAUGUGUCUUGGCUAAGGUGUCUUGUCUAAGGUGUCUCGGCUAAUGUGUCUUGGCUAAUGUGUCUUGGCUAAGGUGUCUCAGCUAAUGUGUCUUGGCUAAGGUGUCUUGGCUAAUGUGUCUUGGCUAAGGUGUCUUGGCUAAGGUGUCUUGGCUAAGGAGUCUCGGCUAAUGUGUCUUGGCUAAUGUGUCUUGGCUAAGGUGUCUUGGCUAAGGUGUCUUGGCUAAGGUGUCUUGGCUAAUGUGUCUUGGCUAAUGUGUCUUGGGUAAGGUGUCUUGGCUAAGGUGUCUUGGCUAAUGUGUCUUGGCUAAUGUGUCUUGGCUAAGGUGUCUUGGCUAAGGUGUCUCGGCUAAUGUGUCUUGGCUAAUGUGUCUUGGCUAAUGUGUCUUGGCUAAUGUGUCUUGGCUAAUGUGUCGUGGCUAAGGUGUCUUGGCUAAUGUGUCUUGGCUAAUGUGUCUUGGCUAAGGUGUCUCGGCUAAUGUGUCUUGGCUAAUGUGUCUUGGCUAAGGUGUCUUGGCUAAGGUGUCUUGGCUAAGGUGUCUAGGCUAAUGUGUCUUGGCUAAGGUGUCUUGGCUAAUGUGUCUUGGCUAAGGUGUCUUGGCUUAUGUGUCUUGGCUAAUGUGUCUUGGCUAAGGUGUCUUGUCUAAGGUGUCUCGGCUAAUGUGUCUUGGCUAAUGUGUCUUGGCUAAUGUGUCUUGGCUAAUGUGUCUUGGCUAAGGUGUCUUGGCUAAUGUGUCUUGGCUAAGGUGUCUUGGCUUAUGUGUCUUGGCUAAUGUGUCUUGGCUAAUGUGUCUUGGCUAAGGUGUCUUGGCUAAGGUGUCUUGGCUAAUGUGUCUUGGCUAAGGUGUCUUGGCUAAUGUGUCUUGGCUAAUGUGUCUUGGCUAAGGUGUCUUGGCUAAGGUGUCUUGGCUAAUGUGUCUUGGCUAAGGUGUCUUGGCUAAUGUGUCUUGGCUAAUGUGUCUUGGCUAAGGUGUCUCGGCUAAUGUGUCUCGGCUAAUGUGUCUUGGCUAAGGUGUCUUGGCUAAUGUGUCUUGGCUAAGGUGUCUCGGCUAAGGUGUCUUGGCUAAGGUGUCUUGGCUAAGGUGUCUUGGCUAAGGUGUCUUGGCUAAUGUGUCUUGGCUAAGGUGUCUUGGCUAAUGUGUCUUGGCUAAUGUGUCUUGGCUAAUGUGUCUUGGGUAAGGUGUCUUGGCUAAGGUGUCUUGGCUAAUGUGUCUUGGCUAAUGUGUCUUGGCUAAGGUGUCUUGUCUAAGGUGUCUCGGCUAAUGUGUCUUGGCUAAUGUGUCUUGGCUAAUGUGUCUUGGCUAAUGUUGCUUGGCUAAUGUGUCUUGGCUAAGGUGUCUUGGCUAAUGUGUCUUGGCUAAUGUGUCUUGGCUAAGGUGUCUCGGCUAAUGUGUCUUGGCUAAUGUGUCUUGGCUAAGGUGUCUUGGCUAAGGUGUCUUGGCUAAGGUGUCUUGGCUAAUGUGUCUUGGCUAAGGUGUCUUGGCUAAUGUGUCUUGGCUAAGGUGUCUUGGCUUAUGUGUCUUGGCUAAUGUGUCUUGGCUAAGGUGUCUUGGCUAAGGUGUCUUGGCUAAUGUGUCUUGGCUAAUGUGUCUUGGCUAAUGUGUCUCGGCUAAUGUGUCUUGGCUAAUGUGUCUUGGCUAAUGUGUCUUGGCUAAUGUGUCUUGGCUAAGGUGUCUUGUCUAAGGUGUCUCGGCUAAUGUGUCUUGGCUAAUGUGUCUUGGCUAAUGUGUCUUGGCUAAUGUUGCUUGGCUAAUGUGUCUUGGCUAAGGUGUCUUGGCUAAUGUGUCUUGGCUAAUGUGUCUUGGCUAAGGUGUCUCGGCUAAUGUGUCUUGGCUAAUGUGUCUUGGCUAAGGUGUUUUGGCUAAAGUGUCUUGGCUAAUGUGUCUUGGCUAAGGCGUCUUGGCUAAGGUGUCUUGGCUAAGGUGUCUUGGCUAAUGUGUCUUGGCUAAGGUGUCUUGGCUAAGGUGUCUUGGCUAAUGUGUCUUGGCUAAUGUGUCUUGGCUAAGGUGUCUUGGCUAAUGUGUCUUGGCUAAUGUGUCUUGGCUAAGGUGUCUUGGCUAAGGUGUCUUGGCUAAGGUGUCUUGGCUAAGGUGUCUUGGCUAAUGUGUCUUGGCUAAUGUGUCUUGGCUAAGGUGUCUUGGCUAAGGUGUCUUGGCUAAGGUGUCUUGGCUAAUGUGUCUUGGCUAAUGUGUCUUGGCUAAGGUGUCUUGGCUAAUGUGUCUUGGCUAAGGUGUCUUGGCUAAUGUGUCUUGGCUAAGGUGUCUUGGCUAAUGUGUCUUGGCUAAUGUGUCUUGGCUAAGGUGUCGUGGCUAAGGUGUCUUGGCUAAGGUGUCUUGGCUAAUGUGUCUUGGCUA